rnacentral:misc_RNA from 1 species
GAUGAAGAACGUAGCGAAAUGCGAUAAGUAGUGUGAAUUGCAGAAUUCAGUGAAUCAUCGAAUCUUUGAACGCAUAUUGCGCUCUCUGGUAUUCCGGAGAGCAUGCUUGUUUGAGUAUCAGUAAACACCUCAACUUCCAUAUCUUUUUUGAAAUGGGAGUUGGACUUGAGUGAUCCCAACGCUUUUCCUCACCGAAAAGUGGCGGGUUACUUGAAAUGCAGGUGCAGCUGGACUUUUCUCUGAGCUAUAAGCAUAUCUAUUUAGUCUGCCUAAAAAACAGAUUAUUACCUUUGCUGCAGCUAACAUAAAGGAGAUUAGUUCUUGUGCUGACUGAUGCAGGAUUCACAAAGACGGCUUCGGCCGACUUUGUAAACUCGAUCUCAAAUCAAGUAAGACUACCCGCUGAACUUAAGCAUAUCAAUAAGCGGAGGA